UACGUAGGGAGCAAGCGUUGUCCGGAAUCAUUGGGCGUAAAGCGCGCGUAGGUGGCCCCAUAAGUCCGCUGUGAAAGUCAAAGGCUCAACCUUUGAAAGCCGGUGGAUACUGUGGGACUAGAGUACGGAAGAGGCGAGUGGAAUUCCUGGUGUAGCGGUGGAAUGCGCAGAUAUCAGGAGGAACACCAAUAGCGAAGGCAGCUCGCUGGGACGUUACUGACACUGAGGCGACGA
rnacentral:rRNA from 1 species